UACGUAGGGUGCGAGCGUUGUCCGGAAUUAUUGGGCGUAAAGGGCUCGUAGGCGGUUUGUCGCGUCGGGAGUGAAAACCCAGGGCUUAACCCUGGGCUGGCUUCCGAUACGGGCAGACUAGAGGUAUGCAGGGGAGAACGGAAUUCCUGGUGUAGCAGUGAAAUGCGUAGAUAUCAGGAGGAAUACCGAUGGCGAAGGCAGGUCUCUGGGCUGACACUGACGCUCAUGCACGAAAGCGUGGGGAGCAAACAGG
rnacentral:rRNA from 1 species